ACUCCUACGGGAGGCAGCAGUGGGAAUAUUGCACAAUGGGCGAAAGCCUGAUGCAGCAACGCCGCGUGAGGGACGACGGCCUUCGGGUUGUAAACCUCUUUUAGUAGGGAAGAAGCGAAAGUGACGGUACCUGCAGAAAAAGCACCGGCUAACUACGUGCCAGCAGCCGCGGUAAUACGUAGGGUGCAAGCGUUAUCCGGAAUUAUUGGGCGUAAAGAGCUCGUAGGCGGUUUGUCGCGUCUGCUGUGAAAACUGGAGGCUCAACCUCCAGCCUGCAGUGGGUACGGGCAGACUAGAGUGCGGUAGGGGAGAUUGGAAUUCCUGGUGUAGCGGUGGAAUGCGCAGAUAUCAGGAGGAACACCGAUGGCGAAGGCAGAUCUCUGGGCCGUAACUGACGCUGAGGAGCGAAAGCAUGGGGAGCGAACAGGAUUAGAUACCCUGGUAGUCCAUGCCGUAAACGUUGGGAACUAGAUGUAGGGACCAUUCCACGGUUUCUGUGUCGCAGCUAACGCAUUAAGUUCCCCGCCUGGGGAGUACGGCCGCAAGGCUAAAACUCAAAGGAAUUGACGGGGGCCCGCACAAGCGGCGGAGCAUGCGGAUUAAUUCGAUGCAACGCGAAGAACCUUACCAAGGCUUGACAUAUACCGGAAAUGGCUAGAAAUAGUCCCCCCGCAAGGUCGGUAUACAGGUGGUGCAUGGUUGUCGUCAGCUCGUGUCGUGAGAUGUUGGGUUAAGUCCGCAACGAGCGCAACCCUCGUUCUAUGUUGCCAGCACGUAAUGGUGGGAACUCAUAGGAGACUGCCGGGGUCAACUCGGA
rnacentral:rRNA from 1 species